rnacentral:misc_RNA from 1 species
AGCAGCCGCGGUAAUUCCAGCUCCAAUAGCGUAUAUUAAAGUUGUUGCAGUUAAAAAGCUCGUAGUUGAAUUUCGGGAUCAAUACGUCGGUCGUGCUUCGGUACGUACUGGCGUAAUUGAUUUCUCCCUUCUGACGAACCAUGAUGUCAUUAACUUGGUGUCAUGGGAAAUCAGGACUGUUACUUUGAAAAAUUAGAGUGUUUAAAGCAGGCUCACGCUUGAAUACAUUAGCAUGGAAUAAUGAAAUAGGACGUUCGAUCCUAUUUUGUUGGUUUUUAGGAUCAACGUAAUGAUUAAUAGGGAUAGUUGGGGGCAUUAGUAUUCAAUUGUCAGAGGUGAAAUUCUUGGAUUUAUUGAAGACUAACUACUGCGAAAGCAUUUGCCAAGGAUGUUUUCAUUAAUCAAGAACGAAAGUUAGGGGAUCGAAGACGAUCAGAUACCGUCGUAGUCUUAACCAUAAACUAUGCCGACUAGGGAUCGGAUGAUGUUAAUUUUUAANGUACUCAUUCGGCGCC